UAUUCUGUGGCCUAGUUGGUUAAGGCGCCGGUCCAGUAAAUACGAAGUCGUGGGUUCGAAUCCCACCGGGAUGC
rnacentral:tRNA from 1 species